UGCCACCACCAUGUAAAAAGUGUCUUUCGGCUCCUGCCAUGAUUCUGAGGCCUCCCCAGCCAAUUGGAACUGGGAAGAACGGAAGGCAAUGCCUCCGAAUUAAAUUUUGGGACCCCCAGUAAAAUUUCAGAAAAGCCCAGAAUUGAUCUCAGAAUGCACAAACUCGACAUGUCUUUGGCAGAGAAGGCUCCGAGAUUUCAGUGCGUUCAUUGCUCUCCACUAAGGAGCUGCUCAGGCCGCCCUUGCAUCCACAGCAAAGGGGCUUCCCUCUGCUCUGCUCUGCUCUCGGGUUCGGAAUCCGGAGCGAGUUUCCAGUGAGGGGCGCCCGCUGAGCGCGUGGGAAAGCAUCGCGCGUGCCCUUCCCCGCGCGCGUCUGCGGAUCAGCGCAGGCGAGGAAUGCAGAUGUGAGGCUGGAGGCAGUAGAGCCAUCUCGCAAUCAUGCAGCAACAAGCAAGGCGGAGCUGGCAUGUUGUUGACUGAUAACAUCGAGAAGCUGCUAUGUUAAUUAUUAAUCCUGCACUGCCAAUCUCUGAACUUCUUGGUAUAUUGGGAACAUAAACUCUUUUGGUUAGGCACUGCGUCAGAUUUCUAUUACAUGCAGCCAAAUGCAAUCUUAAUUGAGAUACCCCUUUACCUAAGUUAGCUUUAGCUGUUCUUGCAACUGUUUGUGCUCCACCCACGGCAUAUGGGAUCCCUUUUGCCCACAGCACCCUCCCUCAGUGUGAUGUCCCCCAACCAGUAUUUGCAGCUUUUUUGUUUUGUUUUGUUUUGUUUUUUAAUCACAAAACUGCUCUCAGGCUGCCAAAUCUGUUGGCCCUAGAGCAAGAAGUGCUAUCUCCUGGG